GAGUAUUUCCCCGGGGUUGGUGGACACAGCCAUGAUCGGCGAAGGGAACCCUCUGCCCAAGAUGCGACCAGAAGAUGUGGCAGAUGCCGUCGCCUAUGUGCUGGCCACGCCGCCUUCUGUCAAUGUCAAUGAAAUGGUCAUCACAACAGUUGGCGAGAAGAGGCUAUAGGAUUUUAAGUGAAACCACAAACUUUAUUUCGAUUUUUAUUAUCUUACAUGACAUUAUGUUUAAGAAUAAAUUAUCUAAAUACAAAAAUAUGGCUGUUUUAUUUGAUUACCAUGGCACUUAGUGGUAGAACAAAUCCAACCAGCCAUUCUACUAAAAUAUAAGGGUUCCGUUUUUCCUUUUGAGGUAC